AAGAACUCCCAGUUCCUUUUGUUCUGUGCCAGAUUAUACCGUUCCUCGCUAGUAUGUGGUAUACUACAGGCUCGAACUAGUUUAUGGUUGCCCUCAGUGCCUAGCGUCUUUCCAGUACCGGUACUGACCGUAUUUUUGUCUGCUUUUCCUCCAGGAACUCUGCCAAGCCUGCCACCUCAGCCACACACCACCUGCAGCUCUUCACCGCCUUCUGACCAGCCAGCCCAGCCUUUUUGCCAUUUCUCUGUACAAUAAAUACCCACAUUCAGCCUCUGAGUCCAUACUUGGUCCACAGUAACCACACCAGACCACGUAACAGAACAAUGUGGCCAGCAUGGACUAAUUGGAUUCUGAUACAAUCCAGCAAGCUCUGACUUCCUAAGCACAACAAAUUGGACAUCACAAACAAACCUUGCAGGAGAUUAUGGACACCCUACGUGGACUCACAACCCAUGUCACCCAGCUUGGAACAAACUUGUCCCAGUGACUUCUGACGAGUUUGAGGGCAUCCAACUCACGCAGUCAGAUCAUGAUUUUCUAAGCGGGGCGACCCUCCUGCAGGGUGUUUAGAAUGCCUGCAUCUAGCUAUCUAUUAGGUGGUGAUGCAGGAGGCACUCCUCCAUCAACGAGUC